GACGAACGCUGGCGGCGUGCUUAACACAUGCAAGUCGAACGGAAAGGCCUGCUUUCCCUUGUGGAUUGCGGGUACUCGAGUGGCGAACGGGUGAGUAACACGUGAGUGAUCUGCCCCCAACUUGGGUAUAAGCCUGGGAAACUGGGUCUAAUUCCCGAUAGGACUGCAGGGUGGUGCCUGUGGUGGAAAACGAUUUUCUAGUGGUUGGGGAUGAGCUCGCGGCCUAUCAGCUUGUUGGUGGGGUAAUGGCCUACCAAGGCGGCGACGGGUAGCCGGCCUGAGAGGGUGGACGGCCACAUUGGGACUGAGAUACUGCCCAGACUCCUACGGGAGGCAGCAGUGGGGAAUAUUGCACAAUGGGCGGAAGCCUGAUGCAGCGACGCCGCGUGGGGGAUGACGGCCUUCGGGUUGUAAACUCCUUUCGACCGCGAGGAAGCCACCUGGUUGGAAGGGUGGUGACGGUAGUGGUAGAAGAAGCACCGGCUAACUACGUG
rnacentral:rRNA from 1 species